GCUCCCCGCUGCUUGCCCGGCCGGGGCCAGGCGCCCGCUCGUCCCCGCAGAGAGCCCUGCGGUCCUCGGACCAGCGCCUCGCGCUCCGGGGCCUCGUGCUGUACAAGAAAUCACUUCAGGAGAAUCAAAUGAGGUAAAGCAUGUGUCAGCAGUUCGCAGAAUACGCUGGACUCAAGCAUCCAAACAAAAUCUGCUUGUCCUUCAAGCCCCAGCUCCUUGUCUGAGCCUCCGCCUCUAAGCAUCCUUUGGGCCUGUACACUGUGGGAGAACGAAGAACCGUGAGGAUAAAAUCAGAGUCUCAUCUAAGGCUGCUGACAUCGGAGCGCUAGGAAGCUCGACGGGGACACUCGGAGUCAUUCAAAGUCCUCCCUGUCUUCUCCGUGCUCCCCUCACUGCCCACUCCUCAGCAGAAGGGGCAAAGCCUGUGGCCAGACUCCCCAGGACUCUGCUCAACUCCAUUCCCUCUGCCACACAACUUCUCUCAGCUACAGUCACCAGGGCCACUGGAGGUGCCUGGACUUGGGAACAUAUGCCUUCCCGUUGAGAGCUCAGCCAAAACCCCCCCAAGAUCUUAAUCAUCAACAAAAAAGAAACACUCUUACAUCUUACGAUGACCUUUAUAAACCUGUUUGAUUUCUUUGAGGGGAGGGGCAGCUUUCUUCAAAGCACUUCAGUCUCACAACAAAACUGCAGUGAGAAAUGAAAGACAAGCAAAAAUAGUUAAACAUUGAUGUAUCCUUCAUCAUCCCCACCAGUCAUUCACUUAGGAAGCCUCAGAGUAAUCGGAGAGGCUCAGAUUCAGGACAAUGACGUAAAAGGAGUAAUGAACACAAGUGGAGGAUAUAAUUGAGGUUCAUGCAACAAUAGGGAAUCAUUAAAAAUGUCAGAGGAGGGUGCAAGUUAUGUUUGGUGUCUGCUGCUCUAUUUCCCUAGCACUCUGCUUGUCAGAGUAAGGCUUACUUUAAGAUUUGUUCUACGCAGGACUGUCUCACCUGUGAUGGCAAGAUACACGUUCUAGGAUACCCUUUUAGUGCUCUGUGUUACUUUGAACAAUUUGGUUAACAUGUCUUAAAAGUUGUGCUACUUUGGACUUCUGUUAAAGCACUGUCUGUUACCAGUCUGUCAUGAAAGGGAGCCAGGGCCAUGCUCCCCAUGAGAACAGUGUUUGCAAUACACAUCAGAUCAGUUGUCCUCCACUUCUCCUACAUGUAAUAAAGCAGCUGCUUGUUACCAAUCAGACAUAAUGGAACUUGAUUUCUAUAAAUUCUCAGACAUCCUGAAGUAUUAAUAAUAUCAUUAUUAGAGAAGCCUGAUCACAUUAGUGUUCAUUUUAUAUUCCUUUAUUUUGCUUCAGAUGCUCUCUGUUGCAAGUUCCCCACAACUUCUUUAAACUUUCUUCUAUCUACCUCCUUAUCUUCAAUAUCCAAAGCUUUUCUUGUUUUGGCGUUUUAGCACCAAUAUUACACAUUUCCCCAUAGAAUGUCAACAAAGACUUCAGAUCCUAGAUGACAAUCUAAAACAUCUGGGUGGGGGA